rnacentral:rRNA from 1 species
UACGUAGGGGGCAAGCGUUGUCCGGAUUUAUUGGGCGUAAAGCGCGCGCAGGCGGUUCUUUAAGUCUGAUGUGAAAUCUUGCGGCUUAACCGCAAGCGGUCAUUGGAAACUGGGGAACUUGAGUACAGAAGAGGAAAGUGGAAUUCCACGUGUAGCGGUGAAAUGCGUAGAGAUGUGGAGGAACACCAGUGGCGAAGGCGACUUUCUGGUCUGUAACUGACGCUGAGGCGCGAAAGCUAGGGGAGCAAACGGG